rnacentral:rRNA from 1 species
AGUGAACGCUGGCGGUAGGCCUAACACAUGCAAGUCGAACGGCAGCACAGUAAGAGCUUGCUCUUACGGGUGGCGAGUGGCGGACGGGUGAGGAAUACAUCGGAAUCUACUUUUUCGUGGGGGAUAACGUAGGGAAACUUACGCUAAUACCGCAUACGACCUACGGGUGAAAGCAGGGGAUCUUCGGACCUUGCGCGAUUGAAUGAGCCGAUGUCGGAUUAGCUAGUUGGCGGGGUAAAGGCCCACCAAGGCGACGAUCCGUAGCUGGUCUGAGAGGAUGAUCAGCCACACUGGAACUGAGACACGGUCCAGACUCCUACGGGAGGCAGCAGUGGGGAAUAUUGGACAAUGGGCGCAAGCCUGAUCCAGCCAUACCGCGUGGGUGAAGAAGGCCUUCGAGUUGUAAAGCCCUUUUGUUGGGAAGGAAAAGCAGCAGGUUAAUACCCCGCUGUUCUGACGGUACCCAAAGAAUAAGCACCGGCUAACUUCGUG